GAAGGUUGACAAGCUCGUCUUCCCUACGGAUUUCUUGAUCAUCGAUAUUUCUGAAGAUGCAAAUCCGCCGUUGAUUCUUGGUCGAUCAUUCUUAGCUACGGGGCGAGCUACGAUAGAUGUGCCGAAUGGAAGCGUUAUCUUUCACGCAGCUGAUGCGCAUGAGUCCUCUGUCUCUGUUCGUGUUAGGCGACCUGUCACGCCCGCUGCGUUUGAUGUUCAUUGAGACCAUGAGGUAUCGUCGAGCUCUAGACGUUAAAUUAAGCACUUGUUGGGAGGUAACCCAACUAUUUUCUUUGUUUUGUUUUUUUUCGUUCUUUUUGUUUCUUUGUUUUCUUUGUUUUCUUCGUUUUGGGGUUUUUAGUGCAGUGUUGAGCUUGGAAGAUGCGGGAACUCGCGCCUUGUUCAUACCACCACCGUGGAGCAUAUUUUUCUGUAAGUAGUGACACACAUAUCAUCAUCCCUCCAAACUUAUUUUCAAACUUAUGUUCUGUAAUAAGUUUGGGGGAGGGGGGUGAGAAUAGAUAUGUGUAUCACUUUUAUUAUUUUUGUUAGCUUUAUUGUUUUAUCCUGCUUGGUUGGUGGUGUGUGUUUUUUGUUUU
rnacentral:lncRNA from 1 species